rnacentral:lncRNA from 1 species
AUAACAGUCUUAAUAAACUCAGGCCAAAUAAUCCUUUGGUUUCCUUCCCAUCCAUGGAACAGGAAUUCUGGGAACUCAGACCACUGCUCCCUCCUGAAUCAUCUCUAGAAAAGUAGGGGAAGUCUUCAGUGCCUGGAGUAGACAUCUCCCUAACUCACAGAUGGGUUGGAGUCCUGUUGGUUACCCUCAGUCUAGUUUCACCUGUUUACCAAGGUGUGACUAUUUUACAUGCUACAAUCUCUUGGAACCACAGGUAUUUCUCUAACCUGAGACAAUGAAGGCAGAGUCUUGAGGAAAUGUGUUCACUGCACCCCUAAUCUGCUAGCCCCAACAGAACUCCUUUCUCUCCCAUUACUAUUAACCUAACCCUGAAUCUGGGGAGCCCCAUCUUCCUGGGUUAGAGUACUGCCAGAUCCU